GAUAACACUGAGACAAUGGGAAGCCAAGAGACAGAUUUAAAAGCAGCCAUACCUGUUCUUGCAUUUCAACAACUAGAGAAGAUAAAAGUCAAAGAAAAAAGUAGUUUCUCUUGGUUCCGGGACUCAGCAGAACUUAGGAAAUUAGUCUGAACAGGUUAGAGGGUGCGCCAGAGAACCGGACAGCUUCUGGGACGGGCGGAAGCACAGAGCCGCUGAGGCAGCAGCCUGGGCGGGCCACAGACAACCGGCCACCAUCCGGACCAGAGGACAGGUGUCCGCCUGGCUUGGGAGGCAGCCUCAGCCUCAGCAGCAGCAGUCGCCAUCUGGGUCCCGGGACUCCGCGGGACCUAGGAAAUUAGUCUGAACAGGUUAGAGGGUGCACCAGAGAACCGGACAGCUUCUGGGACAGGCGGAAGCACAGAGCCGCUGAGGCAGCAGCCUGGGCGGGCCGCAGACAACCGGCCACCAUCCGGACCAGAGGACAGGUGUCCGCCUGGCUUGGGAGGCGGCCUCAGCCUCAGCAGCAGCGGUCGCCAUCUUGGUUCCUGGACUCAGCAGAACUUAGGAAAUUAGUCUGAACAGGUUAGAGGGUGCGCCAGAGAACCGGUCAGCUUCUGGGACAGGCGGAAGCACAGAGCCGCUGAGGCAGCAGCCUGGGCGGGCCGCAGACAGCCGGCCACCGUCCGGACCAGAGGACAGGUGUCCGCCUGGCUCGGGAGACGGCCUCAGCCUCAGGAGCAGCGGUCACCAUCUUGGUUCCAGGACUCCCUGGAA
rnacentral:lncRNA from 1 species